rnacentral:rRNA from 3 species
AGCAGAGAUGCUUUGGUGCCUUCGGGAACUCUGAGACAGGUGCUGCAUGGCUGUCGUCAGCUCGUGUUGUGAAAUGUUGGGUUAAGUCCCGCAACGAGCGCAACCCUUAUCCUUUGUUGCCAGCGGUUAGGCCGGGAACUCAAAGGAGACUGCCAGUGAUAAACUGGAGGAAGGUGGGGAUGACGUCAAGUCAUCAUGGCCCUUACGAGUAGGGCUACACACGUGCUACAAUGGCGCAUACAAAGAGAAGCGACCU